rnacentral:tRNA from 1 species
GCCGAAGUGGUGGAAUUGGUAGACACGCCAGGUUCAGGGUCUGGUCCUCGCAAGGGGGUGAAGGUUCGAGUCCUUUCUUCGGCACCA